UCUAAAACAUCGUGGUCUUUAUUUUCAGAUCAAGAUUCAGUGCGUUUGUUGGCUGUUGAAGGUUGUGCUGCUCUUGGUAAAUUGUUGGAGCCACAAGAUUAUGUAGCUCACAUUCUUCCGGUCAUUGUCAAUUUCUACCAGUAUCUGACCGAGAACAAUUAUUUCGUGAUGAUUGGGGUAAUUGGGCUGCCCGGUGUAGGCAAGUCAACCAUCAUGAACGAGCUUUAUUAAUAUGAUGCAAGCUACCUGUGGUAACAAAAGAGAUGCCAAGUGCGCUGAGGAUGCAGAGGCCAGAACAUACAUACAGUUCCCAUUUUCUGAACACAGAAACCAAUGGCACCGUCGAAUUCAGAAAGAGCAGAAAGCAAGUUCUUUUUUUAACUUUCUUUCUGAUUUGGCUGGUAUGAUGAUGUCUGUAGCACCUGUGAUUAACUUUUAAACUCUUUGGGCACAGGGAAUGGAAGUGAGUACUAAGAACAGAGCAAGUGAUAUUUAUGUUUCUAGAUAAACAGGCGUGAGGCGUGGAGUAAAAACAGAGGAGGUAAAGAAAGGGCCUUCAAUCGUGAGGCAUUCAUUUUGAUUGUUCGAAAUGACAGACUUUGACAUUUGUUA